CCUACGGGAGGCAGCAGUGAGGAAUAUUGGUCAAUGGGCGCGAGCCUGAACCAGCCAAGUAGCGUGAGGGAUGACUGCCCUACGGAUUGUAAACUUCUUUUAUAAGGGAAUAAAGUGCGGCACGUGUGCCUUUUUGUAUGUACUUUAUGAAUAAGGAUCGGCUAACUCCGUGCCAGCAGCCGCGGUAAUACGGAGGAUCCGAGCGUUAUCCGGAUUUAUUGGGUUUAAAGGGAGCGUAGGUGGGUUGUUAAGUCAGUUGUGAAAGUUUGCGGCUCAACCGUAAAAUUGCAAUUGAUACUGGCAGCCUUGAGUAUAGGUGAGGUAGGCGGAAUGCGUGGUGUAGCGGUGAAAUGCUUAGAUAUCACGAAGAACCCCGAUUGCGAAGGCAGCUUACUAAACUGACACUGACACUGAUGCACGAAAGUGUGGGUAUCAAACAGGAUUAGAUACCCUAGUAGUC
rnacentral:rRNA from 1 species